AUCAUGUUAUAACCUAUGAUCACAGAAAGCCCCGAUCCUCACGUUUCUCUGCUGUCACCUGUGGGCUCCUCCAGAGCCGCGAAGAAAGGGGAACUCCAGCCCCACCAUGAGAAGACUGGGUCUUCUGCGCGUGGCGACUCCACCCGUGUGGGAGCUCUGUUAAGGGAGUGCCCGGCAGCACACUUUGCUGUCUGUGGUCUGUGGACAUUGACUGGCACCUAAGCGACACCCAGCUCCCUCCUCUCCCCCUAGAAGCCACUGUCUUAGAGCCUCCAUGCGCAUUUGCUAUGACAUACAUCAAUGUUGAUGAGAGACAGGAACACUGCCGGGUCUUGAGCUGCCAAAAUAAUCAGCUCUGCGCACAACAUGGCUUAAAGGAUUUUCCGGUUAGCAGCAUGCAUCCUCUAAAGAACUUAGACACUCGCAUUUGGUCCGGGGACUUCCACACUCUAGACUCCUGCCGCACAGGCAAGGCAGCUUUGGGCAGUGCUGUGGAAAACCGCCUGUAUCGGAGCGUGGAGAACCUUCACUGGGCGGCAGUGGCUGACUCGGGGCUGCGUUCUCACUGCCGGAGCCUGGACAACGAGAUCAGCUUUGGCUGUAGAGGCAGCAGUCAGUGGGCAGAAGGCUGCGUGGAUGUGGCCCCGCUACGGAGCGCGUCGGACUCGGUGAGAAACCUUUCUCUCCGCCCCAAGCAGACAUCGCGGGCAGUGCAGAACGUGCUGCCCUUUGCCAAAGUGCCUCAGUGGCUCUUCCCCUCUGCAGAGGAAAGAGCCCUACGCGGGGAUGCUAAAAAAGAGCUGAAGGAGAAGCUGAGGCUGCACAGCAGUAAGGUGGCUGAGCCCAGCAAGCCGCUGCGCCCGCAGGCAGCCCUGAGUGAGCUGGUGGCCCAGGAGCUUUCUGAAUGCCAGCUGUGCCAGCAGCACAGGAACGGCUGUGCUGUCAGCUGCUGCACGGUUUUGGGGGAGCACACGGCUCUCAGGCACGGCCUCGCGGGGAGGCAGAGCUGCUGUGCUGCACACAGGCCCGUCAGUCCAGAAGACAUCAAGCAGGAGGCGCAGAGGAGGCUGCAGCUCCGGAGGCAGAACAGCUCGCCCAGCCUGCCCUUUCAGCGUGCUGGGGAAAGCCCGGAGAUGGCAAAAUCCAGAACAGCAGAGUUCCUGGAACGGCACGGUGGGGAAAUAACGCUGGGGCAGGGCAAGAAGGGCCGCUGCAGAGGAAGGCUCUACAUCCCCACCUUCGAGGAAUUCAAGCAAAUGAGGAGUAAGGAGGCAAAGCCACCUGCUGGAAGCAGCGAGCCGACAAAGUGCUUGAAGAAGGGUCUGAUGGCAAACCAGGCCCUGGACAAGGAGAGCAAUAAUGUCUGUCCUGAAGCUCUGGGGACCAAAGCAGUGAAUGAAGCUGCCACCACAGAGGAGGAUGAUGAUGUGUUCCAUGAAAACAACACCACCGCUGGCUUUGCGCAAUAUCCAGCUACAUGGGAUGGUUUCAGGACGAGCAGCCCUGAGGUGAAGGAGCGAACCUUCCAGAUCUCCAGCCCAGAGAGAUCCCCGAUCCCCAUUUGCUCUAGCCCUAUUCCGCGAUCACCUUUGCAGGCUGUAGCCACACACAAAGCUGGGCAGGAAAUCUUCAGUGAUGAGCAGCAGAAAGGAGAGACAAGCCAAUUAAAUGAUGUCCUCCACCUUGCAGGGCAGUCACUGGCUUCUGAAGCCCAGUCCUCUUGCUGUUCAUCGCUGCUGUUAGAAGCCACGGACUUGUCAAGCUAUGGAGCUAAACUACAAAAAAUGAAGGAUGAAUUCAUAGGUUCAGCCCUGGAACUUAUUAAGAAAAGCUGCAAUGCCGAGACUGCUGCCAAAUCCCCCUCCAAGGGACAGUGUGAUCUGAAGAAAGCCGAUCUUCCCCCUCCGGAGGACAGCCAGCAACCCGCAGCGAUGUCCAUGGCAACAGAGGCCUGGGAGGAGAAGGCGAGCAGUGAGACAUCCAGCGAGGCUCAGCCCGCGGGGAACACCUCCAGCCCCGGCUGCCGCCGCUCCAGCUCCGACAUCGUCCAUGAGAGCGGCGCCAAGGCCCAGCGGGAGUGCCGGCUGCGGCCACACUUCAGCGACCCCAUGCCGACGGACUCGGUGAAGAGGAAGCAGCUGGAGCUGAAGAUCGCGGCGGCGGCGCGGCAGCACGCGCAGAAGCGCCGGCAGGAGCGGGACUACGGUCCCGUGGUAGCCAAAGCCAACCUUGGCCACGGCGGCAGCUUCGACGAGACUCGCCGCGCCCCACGUGGCUCCCUCCGCUCCCGGCACCACUGGAGCAACGUCAGCAGCCUGAGCACAGACAGCGGGAUCGUCGGCCUGAACGACGCCCGCGAGGAGCUGGAUGCCGGCGGCGAGGCCACGCGGACCAAGCCGGCAGAGGUGGAGCGGGCAGACAGCGGCAUCGGGCAGACGUCGGCCAGGAAGUGGAGGAGCAGGGCGGCCGAAACGCUGAGCUCCCUGCAGGCCUGGGAAGCCCACCGGCCCUGCACUGACUGCGGAGAAAGGGACCUCCCGGCAGAGACGGACGUGCAGAACUGCAACCAGCGGCGGGCCGACCUCUGCGAGAAGUGCCGCAAGCGCAGGACGGAGCGCAAGGAGUCUGUGCUGGAGUUUGUCAACACGGAGGCCAGCUACGGGGAGGACCUGCGCAUCAUCAAAGAGGAGUUUUACCUCCCCAUGCAAGCGGCCGGGCUGCUGAGUCAAGAGCAGCUCCUUGGCAUCUUCAGCAACAUUCAGGAGCUCAUUGACCUCAACGAGAACUUCCUGGAGAUCCUGCAGGAAGAGAUCGAUCAGGCCUUUGACCAGGUACGGUGCCUGCGUGCUCUGCAGGCAGACAGGAGUAGGUUUUGUAU
rnacentral:lncRNA from 1 species